GAUGAACGCUGGCGGCGUGCUUAACACAUGCAAGUCGAACGGAAAGGCUCCUGCUUGCAGGGGUACUCGAGUGGCGAACGGGUGAGUAACACGUGGGUGAUCUGCCCUGCACUUCGGGAUAAGCCUGGGAAACUGGGUCUAAUACCGGAUAGGACGAUGGUUUGGAUGCCAUUGUGGAAAGUUUUUCGGUGUGGGAUGAGCUCGCGGCCUAUCAGCUUGUUGGUGGGGUAAUGGCCUACCAAGGCGUCGACGGGUAGCCGGCCUGAGAGGGUGUACGGCCACAUUGGGACUGAGAUACGGCCCAGACUCCUACGGGAGGCAGCAGUGGGGAAUAUUGCACAAUGGGCGCAAGCCUGAUGCAGCGACGCCGCGUGGGGGGUGACGGCCUUCGGGUUGUAAACUCCUUUCGCUAGGGACGAAGCGCAAGUGACGGUACCUGGAGAAGAAGCACCGGCUAACUACGUG
rnacentral:rRNA from 1 species